CAAGUCGAACGAGAAAGUGGAGCAAUCCAUGAGUAAAGUGGCGUACGGGUGAGUAACACGUGGGUUAUCUGCCCUUGAGUGGGGAAUAACGAUGGGAAACUGUCGCUAAUACCGCAUAUUCCCGAGAGGGGAAAGCAGCAAUGCGCUCAAGGAGGAGCCCGCGGCCGAUUAGCUAGUUGGUAGGGUAAUGGCCUACCAAGGCUUCGAUCGGUAGCCGGCCUGAGAGGGCACACGGCCACACUGGCACUGAAACACGGGCCAGACUCCUACGGGAGGCAGCAGUGGGGAAUCUUGCACAAUGGGGGCAACCCUGAGGCAGCGACGCCGCGUGAGCGAUGAAGCCCUUCGGGGUGUAAAGCUCUUUCGGCAGGGAAGAUAAUGACGGUACCUGCAGAAGCAGCUGCGGCUAACUACGUGCCAGCAGCCGCGGUAAUACGUAGGCAGCAAGCGUUGUUCGGAGUUACCGGGCGUAAAGGGUGUGUAGGCGGCUUUCUAAGUUUGGUGUGAAAUCUCCCGGCUCAACCGGGAGGGUGCGCCGAAGACUGGGAGGCUAGAGUAUGGGAUGGGAAGAAUUGGAAUUCCUGGUGUAGCGGUGAAAUGCGUAGAUAUCAGGAGGAACACCUGCGGUGUAGACGGCUCUCUGGACCAUCACUGACGCUGAGACACGAAAGCGUGGGUAGCAAACAGGAUUAGAUACCCUGGUAGUCCACGCCCUAAACGAUGCAUAUUUGGUGUGGGUCAUUCAUUUGAUCCGUGCCGGAGCUAACGCGUUAAAUAUGCCGCCCUGGGGAGUACAGUCGCAAGGCUGAAACUCAAAGGAAUUGACGGGGGCCCGCACAAGCGGUGGAGCAUGUGGUUCAAUUCGACGCACCGCGAAGAACCUUACCUAGGCUCGAAAUGCUUUGGACCAUCCUUAGAAAUAGGGACUUU
rnacentral:rRNA from 1 species